AUUGAACGCUGGCGGCAGGCCUAACACAUGCAAGUCGAGCGGAUGAAGGGAGCUUGCUCCUGGAUUCGGCGGCGGACAGGUGAGUAAUGCCUAGGAAUCUGCCUGGUAGUGGGGGAUAACGUCCGGAAACGGGCGCUAAUACCGCAUACGUCCUGAGGGAGAAAGUGGGGGAUCUUCGGACCUCACGCUAUCAGAUGAGCCUAGGUCGGAUUAGCUAGUUGGUGGGGUAAAGGCCUACCAAGGCGACGAUCCGUAACUGGUCUGAGAGGAUGAUCAGUCACACUGGAACUGAGACACGGUCCAGACUCCUACGGGAGGCAGCAGUGGGGAAUAUUGGACAAUGGGCGAAAGCCUGAUCCAGCCAUGCCGCGUGUGUGAAGAAGGUCUUCGGAUUGUAAAGCACUUUAAGUUGGGAGGAAGGGCAGUAAGUUAAUACCUUGCUGUUUUGACGUUACCAACAGAAUAAGCACCGGCUAACUUCGUG
rnacentral:rRNA from 1 species